rnacentral:rRNA from 1 species
UACGUAGGUGGCAAGCGUUGUCCGGAUUUAUUGGGUUUAAAGGGUGCGUAGGCGGCUUAUUAAGUCAGUGGUGAAAUACUCUAGCUCAACUAGAGGGGUGCCAUUGAUACUGAUGAGCUUGAGUACAGAUGAGGUAGGCGGAAUUGACGGUGUAGCGGUGAAAUGCUUAGAUAUCGUCAAGAACACCUAUAGCGAAGGCAGCUUACUAGGCUGUAACUGACGCUGAGGCACGAAAAGCCGGUGGGGAGCGAAACGGG